rnacentral:rRNA from 1 species
GAGGGGAGGGGUGGGAGCCGUGUAGUAGGUAGGAGUGAGGCGUGCCCGGGUCGGGUUUAUGGGAGGGCUGGGAGGUGGGGAGAGCGGCGUUUGGGAUUGGGAUCGGGGGGCGGGGGAGCGGCGGCGGGGUUAGGCGCGGCGUGGCCGCCGGCGAGGGGAGGCUCCAUUUCGCGCCGGAACCAGGCCCCUAUCCGCGGAAGGCACUACCUACCCGAGCCCUUGAGACGCGACUUGCGGAGUCUUCGCCACUACUUCUCCGGGUCCUCGCACCGCAGGUCCUCCGGCUCCGGGUUCCUCGUCGAGCGAAGGCUCAUGUUCCUGUAUAGCACGCGCGGAAGCGCCUCGUAAAGGGGGCUUCUGCUCCGGCGACGGCUCCGGUCGCCAGUUGCCGCCUUCCUCGACAUGGAGUUGCCCGGACUUCCAUCCCCGAGGUGGGUGGUAUCCUUACGGGACAGGUUCUUCUAUUUCUUUCUCCUCCCUAGACGUCCCCUAUUACUAUAACCGGUGUUAGCCUCGUCGUUCGGGUUGCUACGGUUCGUAUAAUGAGUACCACAAGAACGUGACCGAAGGAGUUCUUUGAGACCUAGGUGACUGCGGAGCGUCAACAGGAGUUCCCUGUGGGGACACGGUCACCUUUUAUCCCACUCUUUUCAAUUCGAGUUCCAAUCGCCUGAAUUGGCUUAGUAUGGUUUUGUUCUCGGACAACUGCAACCGUACGGACCGUGUAGCCUACAGAGAAAGGUAGCGGUUUUCGUCUUCCUAAGACCACUCGUCUUUGUAGUGUCGUGUUCUUUCCAAUCAGUACCAUUAGUGCAACUACCUUUUGCACCUCUAUUCGUACUGUAAAGUGGUAGAAGACUGGACCAAGCGUUUUCGUUUUCCCAGGGAUUCUUCGCUUGAGAACUAAGACUACUACUUCUACCACUUAAUGAAAUAGAACUUUUUGAAUUUCACCGAUUUCGACGUGGUCUUGUCGUGUACCGAUGACUGGUCGGAGAUCGAAUACCAAUACCACUCCUACCAGAGUCCUUCUUCGAUAGGUUCCAAAGAUUUUUAUUCUCGUGAGGAAUACUUCACCUGUUGCUGAAGUGAUACAGUGUUAAAUCGUCUCUACAAUCCUUCUUCCACUUUGACCUCCUAUGGUCACUAAAAUAACAUCUCCUCCUUAAACCCAACCUACACAGACUAUCUAAUUAACUUCGACUAAGUGGAAGCCCACAUUUCUAACUUCGAGGACCGGAUUGUUGUUCCGUCGCUCGGGAGGUUCCGUCCCCACCGGUACCACUUUCGUACUAACUUAAAGGGCUGCCCAAUGGUCGACGAGGUAGUAGAUCUUCCGUUUUCCUAUUCGAAAGUCUACACCUCUAUGUUCGGUUUUUUCGUCUUCACCGAGUCUCCGCAUUCUACGUUCAUCUCUUCCGUCUCUCUCUCGUUGUCCGACUUCGUUACUCCUUUUAUAACCCCUAACUGUGACUCUUCUUCUUCCUUCUCUUCUUCGUCUUUCUUGCACUUCUGUUCCUUUUCGUUCGUUUUAAGCUCCUUAUAUUUUCUUCGACGUAGGUCACGCAUUACGCUGGUCUUCCUUGUCAACAAUGUAAGGGACUAUGGUACCCGGAAGGAUCGUAUAAAUUGAGGUUUGGAUAGUCGAUGGGUGGAGGUUCCCUCUUCACGCGUCCGGGGAGCACGGGUUUGGGAAUGUUCAUGGCACUGAGGUUCUGCUUCGAGGGCGAGACGUCGGACCUCACGAUGUUCCGGCAGGUCCCUCCGCGACCCUGCUACCGCACGACUACGAUGUCUCAGCCACCACGUUCAUUUGCGUGUUGGCACCCGCCUGUACCUCCUCGACCUCUUGACGUAGAGUGGGUUACGGGACGGACAAAACGGCAAAAACGCAACGGAAACGAUCAGACUCCUAACUUUUGACUCGCCACUGCCUACUACAACUCCACGGACGACGACCAAAGGAAACAACCAGGAGCACCUACAUACAUACAUCAUCGACCCAGCACGUUUUCUCAGACCAAAUACGCACACCGUUCACCUCCUAAUCAACACUUAACACAUGUCACUACCAGCCCGAACUGCGAUUCCGCAACCGAUACUACCAUACUCAACUGAAGCGAGCAAUAGGUAGUAACAAAGAGCAAC